GAUGAACGCUGGCGGCGUGCCUAAUACAUGCAAGUCGAGCGAACAGACGAGGAGCUUGCUCCUCUGACGUUAGCGGCGGACGGGUGAGUAACACGUGGAUAACCUACCUAUAAGACUGGGAUAACUUCGGGAAACCGGAGCUACUACCGGAUAAUAUAUUGAACCGCAUGGUUCAAUAGUGAAAGACGGUUUUGCUGUCACUUAUAGAUUGAUCAGCGCCGCAUUAGCUAGUUGGUAAGGUAACGGCUUACCAAGGCAACGAUGCGUAGCCGACCUGAGAGGGUGAUCGGCCACACUGGAACUGAGACACGGUCCAGACUCCUACGGGAGGCAGCAGUAGGGAAUCUUCCGCAAUGGGCGAAAGCCUGACGGAGCAACGCCGCGUGAGUGAUGAAGGUCUUCGGAUCGUAAAACUCUGUUAUUAGGGAAGAACAAAUGUGUAAGUAACUAUGCACGUCUUGACGGUACCUAAUCAGAAAGCCACGGCUAACUACGUG
rnacentral:rRNA from 1 species